rnacentral:rRNA from 1 species
GAAGACUGAUCGGUCACAUUGGGACUGAGACACGCCAAACUCUACGGGAGGCUGCAGUAGGGAAUCUUCAACAAUGGGCGGCAAGCUGAUGGAGCAAACGCCGCGUGUGUGAUGAAGGCUUUCGGGUCGUAAAGCACUGUUGUAUGGGAAGAAAUGCUAAAAUAGGGAAUGAUUUUAGUUUGACGGUACCAUACCAGAAAGGGACGGCUAAAUACGUGCCAGCAGCCGCGGUAAUACGUAUGUCCCGAGCGUUAUCCGGAUUUAUUGGGCGUAAAGCGAGCGCAGACGGUUGAUUAAGUCUGAUGUGAAAGCCCGGAGCUCAACUCCGGAAUGGCAUUGGAAACUGGUUAACUUGAGUGUUGUAGAGGUAAGUGGAACUCCAUGUGUAGCGGUGGAAUGCGUAGAUAUAUGGAAGAACACCAGUGGCGAAGGCGGCUUACUGGACAACAACUGACGUUGAGGCUCGAAAGUGUGGGUAGCAAACAGGAUUAGAUACCCUGGUAGUCCACACCGUAAACGAUGAAUACUAGGUGUUAGGAGGUUUCCGCCUCUUAGUGCCGAAGCUAACGCAUUAAGUAUUCCGCCUGGGGAGUACGACCGCAAGGUUGAAACUCAAAGGAAUUGACGGGGACCCGCACAAGCGGUGGAGCAUGUGGUUUAAUUCGAAGCAACGCGAAGAACCUUACCAGGUCUUGACAUCCUUUGAAGCUUUUAGAGAUAGAAGUGUUCUCUUCGGAGACAAAGUGACAGGUGGUGCAUGGUCGUCGUCAGCUCGUGUCGUGAGAUGUUGGGUUAAGUCCCGCAACGAGCGCAACCCUUAUUGUUAGUUGCCAGCAUUCAGUUGGGCACUCUAGCGAGACUGCCGGUGACAAACCGGAGGAAGGCGGGGACGACGUCAGAUCAUCAUGCCCCUUAUGACCUGGGCUACACACGUGCUACAAUGGCGUAUACAACGAGUUGCCAACCUGCGAAGGUGAGCUAAUCUCUUAAAGUACGUCUCAGUUCGGACUGCAGUCUGCAACUCGACUGCACGAAGUCGGAAUCGCUAGUAAUCGCGGAUCAGCACGCCGCGGUGAAUACGUUCCCGGGUCUUGUACACACCGCCCGUCACACCAUGGGAGUUUGUAAUGCCCAAAGCCGGUGGCCUAACCUUCG